rnacentral:lncRNA from 1 species
UCCACUAGCUCUUGAAGGGGUCUAGGAGGUAAACUACUCACAACCUUCUUGCUGAUCGGAUUUGCAUCUUGGUCCUCUUGAUUUGAAAUACUUAAUAGAAGGGAGAACUAUACUAGCCUAGUAAGAAUAUCACACUAAUCAAUGAUACGAAAAACAAAGGUUGAUAAAAAUUACAAAAUAACUAAUGGAGCCCUUAAUUUAAGUAAAUUCAUUAA